rnacentral:rRNA from 1 species
UACGAAGGGGGCUAGCGUUGUUCGUCAUCAUUGGUCGUCACGCGCACGUAGGCGGUCUGUUAUGUCGGAUGUGAAAGCCCUCGGCUCAACUGAGGAAGUGCAUCCGAAACUGGCAGGCUAGAGUACUAAAGAGGGUCGCGGAAUUCCCGGUGUAGAGGUGAAAUUCGUAGAUAUCGGGAGGAACACCGGUGGCGAAGGCGGCGACCUGGGUAGAUACUGACGCUGAGGUGCGAAAGCGUGGGGAGCAAACAGG